rnacentral:rRNA from 1 species
CCUACGGGAGGCAGCAGUGGGGAAUAUUGGACAAUGGGCGAAAGCCUGAUCCAGCCAUGCCGCGUGUGUGAAGAAGGCCUUCGGGUUGUAAAGCACUUUCAGUGGGGAAGAAAGCCUUGGGGCUAAUACCCUCGAGGAAGGACAUCACCCACAGAAGAAGCACCGGCUAACUCCGGGCCAGCAGCCGCGGUAAUACGGAGGGUGCGAGCGUUAAUCGGAAUUACUGGGCGUAAAGCGCGCGUAGGCGGUCUGAUAAGCCGGUUGUGAAAGCCCCGGGCUCAACCUGGGAACGGCAUCUCGAAACUGGCAGGCUAGAGUGCAGGAGAGGAAGGUAGAAUUCCAGGUGUAGCGGUGAAAUGCGUAGAGAUCGGGAGGAAUACCAGUGGCGAAGGCGGCCUUCUGGACUGACACUGACGCUGAGGUGCGAAAGCGUGGGUAGCAAACAGGAUUAGAUACCCCGGUAGUC